rnacentral:rRNA from 1 species
AUUGAACGCUGGCGGCAUGCCUAACACAUGCAAGUCGAGCGAGCGGCGGACGGGUGAGUAAUGUCUGGGAAACUUCCUGAUGGAUGGGGAUAACUACUGGAAACGGUAGCUAAUACCGCAUACCAUCAGAUGUGCCCAGAUGGGGUUAGCUAGUCGGUGGGGUAGCGGCUAACCUGGGGGACGAUCCCUAGCUGGUUUGAGGGGAUGACCAGCAAAACGGGAACGGGGACGAGGUCCAAACUCGUACGGGAGGCAUCGGUGGGAAUAUUGCACAAUGGGCGCAAGCCUGAUGCAGCCAUGCCGCGUGUGUGAAGAAGGCCUUCGGGUUGUAAAGCACUGUCAGCGGGGAGGCGUUACCCGAAGAAGAAGCACCGGCUAACUCCGUGCCAGCAGCCGCGGUAAUUC